GAGUUCCUGGACCGGGCCUGCGGAGCGGGCACCUGGUCGGAGCUGCGAGAGGCGGUAGCGUCCGUGGCCACGCAGAAAGCUGACGGGCCAAGAGGAACAAGGCAGAAAAAGAGAUCAGAGACGGAUGUGCACUGUUUUCAACUCAACGUAAGCUUCGUCUUCACAUCAAACCGGAACAGAUCAAUAGGUAACACAUGCUGCAUCUAAGCAAUGAAUGAAUAAGUAUAAAAAAAUUAAGAAAAGUAAAUGUGUGCUUAUUCAACUGACAUGGAGAAACGCCCAGGCAUGGUUUCUAUGCGACAAUGAACGAGAAAUGUGAUAUCCAAAGCAGGGACUCCAGAUGUUAUUUCUCUGUGGAACUUCUAAGGAGUCUUCACCUCUCCAAAGAACUUGUGCUUGUUCUGAGCCUUCACGGGAAAAAACUCCAAGUAGAGAUAUGGAUUCUCUCUAUGGAUUUUCAGGAACAACCGAGAAGCAGCUGAGGCAGUCAUGGACAACUAAUGAUGUUGGAAUUACAAAGCCUACACACUGGCCUCUAGCUGAAACCAUACUGUGGAGAAAUUCAUUGUGUAGCUGAGGAGUCUGAACGGAGCCAGAUUCCAGCUGAGACCACACUGCUGAUCAACUCGUUUCCAGCUCUCUCUGGCUUCCCUCACUCCCUUGCCAGUUUGUCCUGGCACCACUCCUUCAAUGAAUCCUUUCAAAGGAGCUUACUUGUGAGGCUUUAUACCUAAGAGCCAUCAUCCUGCUGGCAUCUGAGGAAGUGGAAGGCCACAAAGAGAAGAGCUACUCACCUGGGAAGAGUUGGGUUUGGAGAGAGAGACCAACCAGAUUGACACUGCCCCAGGCUGUGAAGAAACAACAAAAUGAAACAUCUAGCUCACCGAGUGGAAUUGAGGAGUUGGGAUAGCUUCCAUCAUAACAAGAAGUAAAAAGCUGAAAACUGAAAGUCAGCAGCUCUUCUGGAAUCUUGAGAUAACAUGUCAAGCCACUGCCCUCCAAAGCAAAGGUGGACGAGUAGAUACAGAGGUUCCCAGCUCCUGUGAACAGAAACCCCAAUGUCAGCCCUAGCCAGGAUCCAAAUGUGUAACUGAUGAAGGGCAAGAGGCUCGAUGGAUAAAGGUGAAAGAUAGCAUAAGGGUAAUCGCUCUUGGUGGGGGGGUGGGGGAUAUGCCUGUGAAUUUUGUUUGCAGGUGUUCUCACAAUGAAGAUCAGAGGAAUCAAGGGUGGGAAAGGCUGGGGAAGCGGGGGUCAAUCGGUAAAGAAUUGUAGUGUGGAGUAUAAGGGAAUUUGGUCAAAAUACAUUGUGUGAAAUUCUCAAAUAAUUAAUAAAACAUUAUCUUCUUAAAUUUAUUC
rnacentral:lncRNA from 1 species